rnacentral:rRNA from 1 species
GACGAACGCUGGCGGCGUGCUUAACACAUGCAAGUCGAGCGGUAAGGCCUCUUCGGGGGUACACGAGCGGCGAACGGGUGAGUAACACGUGGGUGACCUGCCCUCCUACUCUGGGAGUAAGCCUGGGAAACUGGGUCUAAUACCGGAUAUGACUUCGCAUCGCAUGGUGUGGGUGGAAAGUUCUGCUCUUCGGGGUGGUUCGGUGGGGA